GCGGCCACAGCGACUACUAAGAGGCGCCCGCCUCUGAGCCCGCUCUCGACCCCACGUCACGCCUUCUAGAACCCUCCACCCCGGGCCGCCCAGGGGCACGCCGGGAUUUGUUAUGUGUGGAGAGCGGCUACCGUGGGUUGCCGGGAGUUGCAGUUCCAGCGGACUACAGCUAACAUGGCUGCCUCGGCUUAGCGGGCUGGAGCUGAGGACCGCUCUGGCGAGCCUUGAAUGUGAAAGAUGCUCCUCAUUAAAUGCCUGAUUGCUCACGUCAUCCACCAAAUAUCCUCUUCUACCAAGUCUCAACAGAUGGUUCAGCUCGUCCUUAAUAAACAAAGGGCAAUCAAAUGAGAAAUGGACUUACAUUGUUAGGAGAAAAGAAAAAUGUCUCUUCUUCCUGUCUCUUACUGUUUGUUGCAGCUAACAUCAGAAGCCUACAAGCAUCUCUUCGAGUCCCUGCUGUUAAUUCUUAGGUAUAUUCUCAGAAGUGGAAUUGUUAGCUCUUACAGCGAUCCUGUUUUUAAU